UACGUAGGGGGCAAGCGUUAUCCGGAAUUACUUGGGCGUAAAGGGUGCGUAGGCGGCAAAGCAAGUCAUAUGUGAAAGCCCGGGUCUCAAACCCGGAACUGCAUAAGAAACUGCUUAGCUAGAGUACAGGAGAGGUAAGCGGAAUUCCUAGUGUAGCGGUGAAAUGCGUAGAUAUUAGGAAGAACACCAGUGGCGAAGGCGGCUUACUGGACUGAAACUGACGCUGAGGCACGAAAGCGUGGGGAGCAAACAGG
rnacentral:rRNA from 1 species